UACGUAGGUGGCAAGCGUUGUCCGGAUUUACUGGACGUAAAGGGCGUGCAGGCGGUUUGUUAAGUGCAGAGUGAAAGCUCCCGGCUCAACUGGGAGAGGUCUUUGCAUACUGGCAAACUCGAGGGAGGCAGAGGAAAGUGGAAUUCCCGGUGUAGUGGUGAUAUGCGUAGAUAUCGGGAGGAACACCUGUGGCGAAGGCGGCUUUCUGGGCCUUACCUGACGCUGAGACGCGAAAGCGUGGGGAGCGAACAGG
rnacentral:rRNA from 1 species